AUGGAUAGCUUAUUUGUUUUGUUGUAUAUACUUUAUAGUUUCAGUGAUGAGACAUAUAUGUCAACUAUGGGUGUUGGCUCCAACGAUUCUCAUUGGUCCCAAACCAAUGGCGUGAAUUUCGAUGAUCAUGAGUUUGAGGUGGACGAGGAUGGUGAGGGUAUCGUCGAUACACCGAAAGGAAGAGUGGGCAACUACACCAUAGACGAAGAUGUCUUGCUAUGCAAUACAUGGUUGCAAGUGUCCAGGGAUGCCACGGUUGGAGGGGACCAAAGUAGAGAAGCAUAUUGGAUCCGGAUUGAGGAGCACUUUGAUUUGCACAACAAAAGUGGAAUUGACCGCUCGGAAAGAUCUCUUCGCUCCCUGUGGUUGACAAUCAACAGAGAUUGUCAAAGGUGGGCGGCCGCACUUAAGGCAGUUGACACGUUAAACCCAAGUGGCACUAAUGAGAGAGAUAGGGUAAGUGCCAUUUCUUUCAUGAUUCUUCCAUGUUCAUGCUCCUUCUUUGGUGUUUCAAGAGCUAACUUGUUCUUUUGUUUGUAG
rnacentral:rRNA from 1 species